rnacentral:misc_RNA from 1 species
UACGGAGGGUGCAAGCGUUACUCGGAAUUACUGGGCGUAAAGCGCGCGUAGGCGGCUUGAUAAGCCGGUUGUGAAAGCCCCGGGCUCAACCUGGGAACGGCAUACGGAACUGUUUAGCUAGAGUGCAGGAGAGGAAGGUAGAAUUCCCGGUGUAGCGGUGAAAUGCGUAGAGAUCGGGAGGAAGACCUGUGGCGAAGGCGGCCUUCUGGACUGACACUGACGCUGUGGUGCGAAAGCGUGGGUAGCAAACAGG